GCUCGCGAAGUUCGUUUUCUUUCUUUCUUUCUUUUUAAUGGGGGGGGGGGGUUGAUGGUGACGGUGGAUUCUGGGGGUGCUCCCAUCGCCUGCCGCUAACGGGAGGAGGCUCCCCAAGUGGGACCCCAGCGAACUGCUAGGUCGCCCGCUUCCUCAGCUGCGUGUCUGUUUGUCUGUCUGCACCCAGCGCUGGGGCGCCUCUAGGUAGAUGCGCAGGGCAGGUACCGGGGCGCGGCACCUCUUACCUCCACACGCCCGCGUCACCCUUCUGGGCUUGUGCGUGUGUGUCUACACAAGAGUGUGUGCAGAUUCCCUCCUGGCGUGGCGGACAGAAAGUAGGGGAGGGGACACCCCCCAGAGUUGCUAGUGACCGUGGUCGGGUCCUGUCCUGCGCUCCGAGUGGCGCGUGUGGGUGCAGCGCCCCUCUCUCUCCACAGUCUGCUCUAGGAAUCGGACCCGGCUAGUCCCCCUUCUGGUCGCUAGCCUGGGUGGUCCAGGGACACUUUGCAAGUCUUCCCCACCUCCCACCCCCGCGCACCCCGCAGUCCCCAGCUAGUGGACCGCGGAAAGUGUGCUGCACCCUGAGGCCCGGGGCUGCCCGACGGCGCGGGUCGCUGGGAUCAGCUCUGUCGCCUGCUCUGACCCGGCCAUCGUCCGCGCUGAGCUGCUGAGUGUGUCUCAAGCCAAAACUUUUUUUGGAGGUAGUGGUGGUGGAUUCUGCGUGGUUGGUUUAUUAGGAACCAGGCCACCUAUCUUUAGUAGAGAUGUUAAGAGAUAAUGACGGUGAGGAGGACUUUUUUUUGGGGGGGGGGGUGCGGGCUAGAGUUGUGACCCCGAGGUCUGCUGCCUUGGAGCGGCGAGCGCUUGCCCUGGUCCCCGGAGUCCUGUCUGCUGGAGCGCGCUGCCCAGGACCCAUGCGCAUCUGCAGGGAGUUUGGGGACAGAGGAGUGGCGCCGGCGGGCAAAGCCUGGAGGGCUCCAGCUGCCUGCACACAGCCCAGGUUCUGAGCCGGGCCCACAAGGGAACCGCUGCAGCCUCGCUGCCUCCCCGCCACUCGAACCUGAGUCCAGUCAAGCGGCUACAACGCAGCAACCUCCAGGAGCCAACUCUGAGGCUGCCCCAUUCACAAAGUCCCUUCCUGGAAGGAGCCACAGGUCUGGGGAGCAGAGAGUUUUGCAAAGGGCAACACUUCCUUCGCAGGGACUUAACUAUGAGACUCUGAGGUGCACAAGCAAAUAACAUCUUUUUUUUUUUUCUUUCCUUCACGUAGAGUAGCUCAGAUCUUUAAAGAGACACUUCGAUUUUCCUUGGAAACUUUGGAGGAAUUGUAAGCUGCUUAAGAGUGAAUUGAAGGCAAAUAUUGGUCAAGUGGAUUGCCAAAGCAGAGACCAGGCAUCUGGUGUAAGAGAUGAUUUAGGGGUAUUCCCUCUUUAUUGGGGAGGAGUCAGAAGAUCUCUUCUUAUUUAUUUAUUUAUUUAUUUUGCCUCCAGGGUUAUUGCUGGGGCUCGGUGCCUGCACUACGAAUCCACUGCUCCUGGAGGCUAUUUUUCCCAUUUUGUUGCCCUUGUGCUUGUUGUAGUUGUUAUUGUUGUCAUAGCUGUUGUUGUUGCUGGAUAGGACAGAGAGAAAUGGAGAGAGGAAGGUCAGACAGAGAGGAGGAGAGAAAGAUAGACACCUGCAGACCUGCUUCACUGUGGUGGGAAGCGACUCCCCUGCAGGUGGGGAUCCCCAUAGAUCUCUUCUUUUCCUAUUUUGAGGUCUCGCAACUUCCUGGGUUCUCAGACAUCUGCUAAUAUCACACAAGAUAUGCUUUUUUUUUUUUUUCCUACCAUCAUCAAUCACUGUUAAUUGGCAUUUGGCCAUAUAUUUUAUGAAGUUCAGGGGUCUUUCUUCAUAAAAUCUGAAUACUUUGGAGACAUUUCUGUUAACAGGUUGAGUGGUAAGGGUGCAGUGCAAAUGUGUCGUCCUCUCCCCACCCUACCCCUUUCUUUGGCUUUGACUAAGCAAGGUGGCAUCAGUCAGAAAAGAAGUUCAGUUCACUAGCAUGGCAUUUGGAGGGUGAAUGUGCAGUAAAUGCUAAAGAAAACUAGAAUGGGGCAGGGAUAUAUGCCAAUGGUAAGGAAUCUGAUUUGUCCAAGAGAGGAGGUGUCACAUAUCAGGGAGGGACAUUACUUAACUCUGAGAAUAAAAAGAUGUGUUUCUUAGCUAGCUAGAGAGCACAUGCUCAAUGAUGAUCUGGGCACUACCCCCUCCCAGAGCACAUUCUUCUAGGUCUUCAGAUUGUCAGUGGUAAUUAUGCUUCUUCAAUCAGGAAAGAGGAAGAGGACUGAGAAGAGGACAAGAGCUUCUGUUCAGCCUCCAAGGCCUUCCCUGCUCUUCACUUAAAAUAAUCUGCAUUCUGGGGGCCUGUGAUAUGGCUUGAUGGUGUCUGCAUUCCCAUACCAGGGGCUGCCCAGUGUCUGUCAAAACAAAAAUGUGUGGUCAGUAAACACAUCUCCCGUUGCUCUUGUCAACCAAUUUCGGAGCCAACUGGAUCUCUUAAAAAUAAAUAAGAUGGCGACUUGGAGACAACACCUAGUGUGAGCUCUGCAAGGAAGCUGCUUUCAGCCUGGGAAUCUGGGGUCAGGCCACCAGGUUCCAGAUGAUACCAUGAUGCCAACCGGACUUCCCUGGGCAGAGGACCCUACCAUGUGUCUUGGAGCCCUGCCUCCCCAGAUCUCUACCUCACUAGAGAAAGAGAAAGACAGUCUGAGAGUAUGGAUCGACCUGCCAAUGCCCAUAUUAAGUGGAGAAGGAAUUACAGAAGCCAGACCUUCCACCUUCUGCACCCCAUAAUGACCCUGGGUCCAUACUUCCAGAGGGAUAAAGAAUAGGGAAGCUAUCAGGGGAGGGGAUUGGAUAUGGAUUUCUGGGGGUAGCCACUGUGUGGAAAUGUAGCCCUCUUACCUUAUAGUCUUAUCAAUAUUUCCAUUUUAUAAAUUAAAAAAAAUAAAU